ACCCCUUCUCUCUCAGCUAGGUCUCACUACCCUUUCUUCUCUCUACGUUCACUCUCAAAAAUUGAUGGUGGAGUGGUAACGGCGAUGGUGAAAAAGCGAUAUUAAAGGUCAAUUUCACUAAACAAGAAGAAAUUCCCAUGACUUUGUUGUGGUAAAAAUUUAUUCCAGAUUCGAGGUUUAAUGAAAUUUCUCUAAGAAAGAAAAUUCAGUUAAAGGCACAAAAAAAAUCAAAGCAGAAGUUUGUGUGGUGAAGGAUCAACUAUUCAUCUAGUUCAUUGAAGUGGAAAUCGUGAAGUUCAUUCUCAAAAUUGGAGUUGUUUUAUUUCCCAAGGCCACACUUCCUCUACGAGUCAUUCAGCUUAAUUUUAUAGCUUCUGUUGAAAAAACACUGAGGAAAGUUGAUGCUCCCUACACAAUCGGUAUGAUUCGAGUUUACAAGGAUCCAAGUAGUGGAAGGGUAAAACUUCCAACCACCGAUACAACUGCUGAGAUGGAAAAUGAAGAUCGUGCAUGGAUGUAUAAUAGAACUUAUCUUAACAUGUGGAUUGAGAAAGGAAUAUAAAGAUGGGGUAGCUGGAUUUAUUGCUAAAGUGAUGAAACUUAAUGAUUUUCUUACUGAAGGGAUAAUUAGGUGUCAUUGUUGGAAAUGCAAGUGUUGUAAGUUAUUGAGUCCAAAUGUUGUUACAUUACAUCUUUAUAAGAAAGGUUUUAUGUUGAAUUAUAUUGUGUGGACAACUCAUGGAGAGAAUAGUGUUGCUAAUAAUUUUGCUUUUCAGAAUUAUGUUGAAAUCUCAAUAAGAGAGAAUAAUGUUGAAAGUUCACAAUAUAGUGAGAU